rnacentral:rRNA from 1 species
AAUGCCGGAUGCUCCGACUUCUCGCAUGGGGUGUCGGGAAAGAUUUCAUCGGUAUGGGAUGGGGUCGCGUCCUAUCAGGUAGUCGGCGGGGUAACGGCCCACCGAGCCUACGACGGGUAGCCGGCCUGAGAGGGCGACCGGCCACAUUGGGACUGAGAUACGGCCCAGACUCCUACGGGAGGCAGCAGUGGGGAAUAUUGCACAAUGGGCGCAAGCCUGAUGCAGCGACGCCGCGUGCGGGAUGACGGCCUUCGGGUUGUAAACCGCUUUUGAUCGGGAGCAAGCCUUCGGGUGAGUGUACCUUUCGAAUAAGCACCGGCUAACUACGUGCCAGCAGCCGCGGUAAUACGUAGGGUGCAAGCGUUAUCCGGAAUUAUUGGGCGUAAAGGGCUCGUAGGCGGUUCGUCGCGUCCGGUGUGAAAGUCCAUCGCUUAACGGUGGAUCUGCGCCGGGUACGGGCGGGCUGGAGUGCGGUAGGGGAGACUGGAAUUCCCGGUGUAACGGUGGAAUGUGUAAAUAUCGAAAA